UACUGACUCAGUUGGCAGAGCAUGAGACUCUUAAUCUCAGGGUUAUGGGUUUGAGCCCCACAUUGGGCAAAA
rnacentral:tRNA from 1 species